ensembl:lncRNA
CAUACAUGGUCAUCUUCCUCUGACACCAAGUGGCGAGGCUCCUGUCACAGCUGCUCCGCAUUUGGGAUAACAAGGGGACGGGUGAUCAGUGUGCUACAACAAGGACCCAAUCAGAGACCAUGCUGUGCUGGACCGACGACGUCGGAGAACAGCAGUAUGUAAGAGCGUACUCUUAGGAGUACGCAAGAAGGAUUUACUACCAGCCUACCCAGUGGAUUGUAGCAAACGUUGCUCAUCUGGUAGGUAGUGUGUGGAGUGUGUGUGAUUUCUUGGAAGCAAACCAAAAGUACAACAAUCAGCUCCACAAUUCAGUUAAAUAAUAAGUCUUUCAACAAGCCUUAGGCUAUAUGAUUACAUAAAAUUCAUUGACCACUAAACAAACUCACAUUGCUCAGUGUACGCACACACAAGGAGUUCAAAGACACAGCUUGCAAGGUUUCAGUGUGUCUGAAGAAAGGAAGGGGGUGUGGUCACAGGUGUGGCUUAAAAAGUCUGGAGUGCCAAGUGAUUGACACGGCCUAAUUGGGAAAUUGAAUGGGCAAAUAAAGGGGCGUGGCUCUUGGUCUUUGAGGUGAGGAGGGAGACAGAAAACCCUCCAUCGUCCUCAUCACCUACAAACUUCCCUGACUCCGUCCUGUCAACCAUCUCCUUCUCCGCCACCACUUUUUACAUCUCAGUAGAUUAGGUUUAAGGUGUACUAUUUAACGAGCAGAAUAGGGGCCUGAAUGAGACUUGUUCAACCAUUACUAUUUUCUCUCCCUCGUAUUUGAUGACUUAGUGAAGUGUCUGAGUACCUUAACAAAAGCACUGUAAAAAUCGACUCACAAUGGAUUCUGAUGACAACCACAAACUUUUCCAUUCUUAAAGGCGUCCCCUUUAAGGAGGAGCUCAGACACCUGAGAAGCGAAACCCGCCAUCACAUAAAAGUUCCACUUUAGUGAGACUGAGGUUCACUUUACUUUAGACUGAGGUUCACUUUUUUGCUCUGCUGUUGUUCCAUCAGACUAAACUAAACUUUGAAUGUUUUCUUGUUCUCGUCUUGAACCAUUGAACCGAAGUUCUCCAUGACAAUGGUAUUGUGAACAGAAGACAUGAGUUUCAUGCAGAUCCAGUUAUUACAGCAAGAGACGCUCAUCAUCAAUGAAACGCACCCAAUAAUUCAGUGUAUAAUUAGCAACAAUCACAAUAAGCUCAAACUACUGCUAAAGGAACAUGACAUUAAUGGACUUUAUCCAUGCAAGGAGCUAAACGAUGAGGUCUCCCCUUUGAUUGCUGCUGUUGCAUUUCAAAAGGAGGGCAUUUUUUCCGUUCUCCUGCAUGAAGCUGCAGACCCAAACACAUGUUCACGCAAUUGUUGGAAACCUUUGCAUUUUGCUUCAUUAGGCAAAGUUCCAUUUUCUUUUGUGCAUAAAUUGCUGGCAGCUAAAGCUGAACCAAAUGAUGACAUGAAUAAUCAAUUAAAAAUGACCACACUGCAAGCAGCUGUUCACCAUGACAGAGGUGAUGUUGCAGAAGCAUUGAUCGGCGCAGGUGCAGUUGUUUCAACGUUUCCUAUAAAGAGUCCUGAUUGUGAUACUUUCAAUGACAAGUUGUCUAAUAUGAUACAUCGUUUAGCCUCGAAUAGUGUCCAAAUCUGUUCAGAAAUUAAAUAUUUUGUUGAUCUGGACAUUGCAGUCAGACGAAAGAGUCCUGAAGAGGUUUUCCAGUUGUUUGAUCAUGUUAUGCUGCUUAAGCAUCCUCAGACACAUAUUAGUGUUAUUGAUGUUGUGUUGAGUGUCACUGGACCAGGGAAGGCAGAAUACCAAAGUAAAGCUAUCCAGUGGCUUAGGGACAACAAUAAGAUAAACCAAUACAUUGAGGAGGCUGUGAAACACUUUCCAAACCUUUUAAAAGGACAUCAGCCUUUGGUUGUUCAGAAUCUACAUUCUGUCUUUUGCACUUUGACAGAGAUACCAAAUAACAUAUCACUGGCUUUCAUACCUAAAUUACUUGAGCUGCUUUCCACAAAAAUUUUGUUUCCGAAAGAACAGCAUUUUGUUGUGGUUACACUCUAUGUGAUUACACAAAAAUGCAAAGUGAAAGAUGACUGGAAUUUGGAUAUCAUUGAGAAAUUAAGCUCAGGAAUUUCUUCCUUUGUAAACAAUAAUCACUCAGCAACUGCAAUCUAUGCCUAUGGCAUUUUUGCAAAUCUUGUUUCAACUGAACACGCCAACAAAAUCUUUACAUCGAUUGGGUUAACUUCUGUGCCUGAAGAGAUUCUUACAUCUGCAGAAAUGACGAUGGAUGACAGUCUCAAAGAAGGUCUAAGGCAUCUGCAGAAAUAUUUAAUUCAACCAAGCGCAGCAUCUGAAGAGUCCAUAUCAGCUGUUU